rnacentral:rRNA from 1 species
UGACUGUACUAAGGUAGCAUAAUCAUUAGCUUUUUAAUUGGUGGCUGGAAUGAAGGGUUAUUACUAGGAAGGUAGUUUUAUUUAUAUAUUUUGAAUUUAAAUUAGAAAUAAAAAUGUUUUUAUUAAUCUUUGGGACGAUAAGACCCUAGAAGUUUUAGAGUAAAUUUAUUCUUUAGUUGGGGUGACUGAUGAAGAUUAGGAUCUUUGUUUAUAAUUUUAAAGUGAAUAUAAUUACUCUAGGGUUAACAGCAUUAUUUAAUUUUUGAGU